GGGAACAAUCUCCUCGUUCCAGAAGGGCAGGGCCCGGGCAAUGGUGUCCUUGAGGCUCUCGCAGGUGGGCAGUUCCCCGGGCUUCAGGCCUGCGUACCGACGCUCCUGGGGGACACAGGCACGCUGCUUUCCCUCCCAAGCCAGUGGGCCCCCACCUGACUUCCCACCCUGCAGCUUCCCAGCGGAGGCAGCCCACCUUGCUAAUGGAGUUGUAGUAGGGGUGCUUCUCGUCCAUCGGGGGCGGCGGGAUGUCGAAGGAGCGCCUCCAGAUCUUCACCUGCUCCUCCCCGUGCUUGGCGGCCGUUUCCGCCUUGUUGAGGCCUGUGAGGCCCCCAUAAUGCCGCUCAUUGAGGCGCCAGGUGCGCACCACAGGCAGCCACAUCUGGUCCGUGCCGUCCAGGAUGGCCCAGAGGGUGCGGAUGGCCCGCUUCAGCACCGACGUGUAGCAGAUGUCAAACUCCAUCUUGGCGUCCUUGAUGGCCUUGGCUCCCCGCUUGGCCUCCUCGGUCCCCUUUUCACUCAGCUCUGCAUCGAACCAGCCACAGAAACGGUUCUCCUGGUUCCAUGUGCUCUCGCCGUGCCGGACCAUCACGAGGCGCCAGGCUAGGAGGGGGCCCUCAGCAGGCAGAGGAGGAGAGCCAGAGGAGCUGGUGCAGGCCACAGCUUUGCGGAGAGGAGUCUGGCCUUGUGGAAAGU
rnacentral:sRNA from 1 species